UAACAAAAUGAAUAUCCUCUUUUAUCUUUCAGACUUUGUGUAAUGGCUGGGGAAAAAAAAAAGGAAAAAAGGCAAGCAGGUGAAAUGUUUUAAAUGAAGCCUAGAACUGUAAGGAAAUAUACUCAUAUGUAUCAUUUUCUGAUCACCAUUAUGUCAGCUGGGUGAAAGACUUCAGAGUGGUUUACUUCUAAAGAAUCACUUGCCUGGAUUUCAGCAACUGCCUUUGGGAAGAGCCUGGAACAACGCAUCUGCUGAAACCCCUGUGUAAUCAAAGGGAGGCAUCUUUUCAAGCAGACAUUGGUUUGGUGCAAUGCCUGGAACAAAACAAGAGCAAACAAAACCCGGCAGCGCUGAAUGCUGCAUCCUUGCUGCAUGGUAGAAGUAAGUUGAUGAGUUUGCUGAGAGUCUCAGCGUUCAGCCUUGCAACACAUCUCUAAUAUGAGGAGUGAUCAGCUUGCUUUCGUAGCCACGUAGGAAAACGAAGACAGAAGUUGCUCGAAUCCUGUUAGCUUUUCUGGCAAGAAGCAGAUGAGGAAACUGAGACACUGUGAAAUUAAAAGCUUGGGGAAAUUAGUACACAGUAAAUUACGGUGUGAAUUUACUGUGUACUAACCACCCUGCACGAACUCAUCAGGCGGACUGGAAAAGAGAAAGGAUUAAAGUCCUUUAAAUUAUCUCGCAUUUGCCAUGGACAGACAGCUACCACGGAUCAGCCCCUUUGGAACCUGCAGCGAGCCGUCCGCAAGGCGAAUCCCUUGGAGGAGAGGGCAGAGUCCUGGGCUGUGUGCUGAGCUGCUCAUCCCCUGCAGCUUCUUGCUGGAGUUUCUGAGUUGCUAAUUUCCCCAGCUGGCCAGACCCGAAGGGGUUUACCUAAAAAUCGCAAAGGAAAUCUUGAAGUGAAACUCAGAUGUCCUUACGGCCUUGAAAUCAGAAGCUGUGAGUUGAGGCUUUGAGGGACAGAGGGACUGCAGGCUGCAUCCAGGGAGCACGUGGGUUAAACCAGUGAGUUUGAGUGGUGAGAUGGGAAGGUGGUCCCAUCUAUCCUCAGAGCCCCACCAUACACCUCCUCCAGCCUUUGCAUUGGGUCCGUGUGUGUGCAUCCAGGCUGCAUGGUGACUUCCUUGCCUAGUCCCCUUCACUCCCAGCAGUGCCAUUUCUGGACACAGCCCCAGCAGAGACCUCUGGGCUCGGGAAUCUCUGUGAGUGACCUCCUCACCCCGCAGCACACGGUAGGGCCAAUGCUGAAGCAUCUCUGGCAGGAGAUUCCCAUUUCCCAUUGUUGCUGACCCUAGCUGGGCAGAGGAGAUGGAGGGAGCUGGGGCGAGGGUUGGUGGGAAGACAAUUACUGACAAGUUUGUUCCACUAAUAAACAAAGACAUAAAUGACGACGCUGUAAAGAAGAAGCAGGAUUCUGCGGAGAAAGCCCUAGAGAGACCUAGUGAGGAGAGAGAUGUUUAGACGACAGUUUUACAUUACACCACUUUGUGAAAUAUGUGCUAUUUUAGCUCCGAGCUGGAGUCCAGUUAGAGCUGCAUCAGGACUUAGGAAGCAGAAUGUAUUUUAAUGCCCUGUGAGCAGGAAUAGCUGAUAACUAGUACAUUUAAAUGUGAAAAGCAGAACUUUUCUCUGGGGGAUGUAUUAUUUUUUUUUUUUCAUAUGAAUUUAGUCGUUGUAGUUUACAUUACAGCUCCAGUGCUUCACUGGCAGUCAUUUAUCUAAUGACUUACAUCUUUCAGGCUGCAGAAAAUGUAGGAUAAGAGAGAGAGAGAAAGGGGUGGUAGAGGGGAAGUUCUUUGUAAUUUGCAUUUCAGGGCUGAACUUAGGAUCAUAAAUAUACAGAAGUUAGAACCUUCCUAAUGUCCCUCAGCUAUCUUUUUUCCAGAGCAUUACAAUAUGAAAACAGUGGGAUUAGGGAACUAUAUACUUCAAUCCUUCUCACUCCCAAUCCCUGAAAUAAGUGUAAACAGAGCUGGAUUUGCUUCUGGUAUAGCUGAAAUGAAGACAAAGGGGACAUCAGUGACUUGCUAGCUGAGACUGAGAAGCAAUCUAUGGUGUCCUGUCAUGCCAUGACUGCUGGAUGGACAGUGAGGUCACAGUGACUUUUGGAGCGAUGGUCACUGCUGGAGCUGGAGUUAAGUUUUGGUUUCCGAAACCAGAAAGGAGGAAGUGGAAGAGAGAGCAGCGUAAGAGCUACCACAAGAAUGUGAUAAGGAAGAACUGCACAUGUGAGAAGUGCUGCCAGGGAGAAAGAGCUGUCAGAAACACAAGCCCCAUGCUCAGCUGGAUGAAUGAGGACCUGACCACAGAGGUGGAGAGGAAAUGUGGGACAAUGAUGCCUUCUGACUUAUGGGAAACUUGGGCACAGAUCACUCUUGCUGAGCCCUAUCUGCAGCCUUCUCCCAUGCCUGCAUCGUGCCGAAUCCACCAAUGAUGCUCAGCACCAGUUAUUUAUUUCCAUGUCACCUAUGGAAACGUUCAGGUUUGACAAAGGGGGAAAAAAGCGAUUCAGCGUCUUUUGACAGAGGAAGGCUGAUUUUCAUUCGAGACAGAAUGGCUCAUUUUUACCUUUUUAGCUCCUGGAAGAGUAAAAAGUGAGAGGUCAAACCUGCAUCACCAUGACAACCCCUGCAGUGAGGAGUUUGAGCAGAUGAAGGGGAGUGAUAACGGAGCUGAAGUUUCUGCCUGUUCCCGUCAUCGCUGGGAUUUUUGCUUUUCCUUCUUUCUUCUCCUUAGGCCUUGUCCGAGUUCCUGUUGCACUGGAACUGCUUCCUGAAAGCAAACAAAUCUGCCUGAUUGUUUCUACCAAACCCUGGAGGCUUGAGCACAGGCAAACACAGGUAAGUUUAGCCUUUGUUCAUCAUCAUUGCCUUCCUGAAACCAGGAUACCCAGUGAAGGCCAGUUCAGCAGCCAGGAGUCCCAUCAGCCAUAUUGUAGCUUGGAACAACUUUGGGCUCAAUAACACCUACAGAACCUGUUGGGAUGUUCCCUAAAUCCUAGCCAGAUGUAAACUCUCCCAAAAUGAGGGUAACAGCAGCCUGAUGUUUCCAAAACAUGAUUUUGCCUUGAAGCCUCGGUGAGUAAUGGGUAUAAAUUACCAGUGGUCUACUUAUUUUUUAUUUUGCCUCGUGGUAUAUUAUUGGUUAUUCUUCUGCCAACUGAUAGCUUGCAGCUAUGCAAGCCUCAGACAGGCAGGCUAGAUCUAGGGAAGCACAAAACCACAUGAUGCUUGUCUUAUAUCUAGAUUGUAAAUGCUUUGGCCAGGAACCGCCUUUGUUUGCUUUUUUGUUGUUUUUUUGUGUAGCUAGGUAACGUAGCUUGGCCAACACCAUGACAGUUGUCUUGGGCAUGGCUGCACUGCAACCGGAAAGUCAUCACCCGUAGACAAUCAGCCCUCAGUGCAUGCAAGUUUCUGAUGCUUGUUUGAGAGUUGAAGCACUUGAGGAGAUUUAAUCAAAAUCUGAAUACAUGUGACUGAAAUUGGCUCUCUGUGAUUAUUUAUACAAGUAAAUCUCUGCCUCUCAGAAGUUCCCAGAAAUCAAAUGCCAGCCUCGUCUGAUCAUUUUUUUUAAAGGAGUAAAUAUUUGUUGAAAAUUCUUUGCUAUAUUAAUUUUGCUCUGCUGCCCUGAUAGGGGUGAGGAGAGACUCCUGGUGUGCAUCAAUCAGCCUUCAGUGAAGAGGGACCAAAAUAGCUCAUUACGUGGUCCGUAACGUGCUAUCCUCAGAACGAAACCCAAACUUUUCAGGUAUCCUAGCUAAGAUUUUAAAGUAGCUCAUUUUUCCUCAUACGUCUGCAUAGCCAGUUAAAAUCUUCCAGGAAAUGUUCCUCAUUUCAACACUAGGUACGUCAGGUACAGGUAUUUUAAGCAGGAGGUAGUUUAAGCAGAGUGACACAUAUUUCCAUGUUUUCCUAACCCCCACUUGAAAGCACAUCUGCCAGUAAGUGGUUUGUAACUUGACAGUCAGCCAUAGCUAUUUUUUCAAUGCUGUAUAAUGUUCUCAUUCCCUGUUGCUGACCUUUUUUUUUUUUCUUUCACUUUCUCUUUUUCUUUUUUUUUUUUUGUGGUAACCCUUUUACCUUCUUUUCCCCCGCUCAGACCCAUUAGCAGGAUGUUGUGCAAUAUGGUGCUUGUCAUCUGUUUCAAAGACACAGUGAUGAGAUACAGGUAUGCCAGAUGGAUAAACCUAGUGUGACUAAUUAUUGUGUAUUUGCCUUUAAUUAUUAUCAUUUAUUACCAGAGAAAAGACAAUAGAGGUUCUCAGACUCGGAAGGGAAUGUCGGCAGAAGGGGAUUGUUUUCUUUUUGGUUUUUUUUUUUUUUCCAAGAGAGUGGUACAUCAGCAAGAAAAGUUUUCUUCCUGAGGAGAAAUGUAAGUAAAUGUUUAGACAAGAGAAGUCAACAUGACCCAUGCAAGGCUCACCUUCCCCUGACAUACUUGAGAAUCGGGUAUCUCACAGGUAAUAGUUUAUUUGUCAUUAUAAACAACUUUUCCUUUGCUUGAAUGUGCAUAAUGAAUAUAUGGGUAUUCUUCAGUCAUCUGCAUGGGUAUUUGCCCUGAGAGAAAUGAAACCUGUAAGUCCCUAAGUUGUAAUGUUUAAGUAAAUUAGUCUCAGGGUAGCAAAUAUCAUUAAAGAUUUCAGUGCCAUCAGGCUGAGCCUCACAGUCUUUGGAUUGAAUUUGCCUCCAUAUUUGACCCUAGCAUAUAGGAUCUCUCUGGUGCUUGGCAUAUGUGUAGACUUUUAUCUUUCAGGUAUUAUAACCUUAUUAUCACUAACUGUCCUUCAAAAAUGCAUAAAAAACUUUUAAAAAUAAAGAGGAUAUCUCUGUUGCAUCUCUGUUAGCCUAGGCCAGGCACUUUGCUCAGCUCAGGAUCUACAGCCAGGCAUGCUGGACUACUUUGAGGAUCAUAGAAUUAUAGAAUGUCUUGGGUUGGAAAAAACCUUAAAGACCACUGAGUUCCAACCCCCGGCUGUGGGCUAGUUGUCCCCCACCAAAUCAGGCUGCACAGAGCCCCAUCCAACCUGGCCUUGAGAACCUCCAGGGAUGGGGCACCCACAACUGCUCUGGGCAACCUGAAUUAAAGGUUGAUAUCAUUAGAAAACUUUUGGAAAUGUUAUUAAUAUGGCCCCCAAAGCUGCUUUCAUUUUACAGCUGAAUCAUCUAUUAUUUACUAGCGCAGGAAGGAUUAUGAUGGCUCAUAAUUUUGAUCUUCUUGCUUAUGGGGCACAGCACUUUAAUUUGGGAGCAGCCAUACUGAUUUGGUAAAUAGACUGAGGAAGAGCUUCAGACGUGGGCUUUAAAAUUCAUGAGGAUCUGAUUUAGUACAUCUUACACUGAUAUUUUUUGCAUAUUGACUCUAUGGCUAAGUCACGUCAUAACCUAGAGAACCAGUUUUACACCAUGAUCUAUCGUAGAUACUAUAAGGCAUAAUCAGUGUUGCUCAUCUGCUGAAAUAUUUCUAUAUAUAGUAUUUGUCAGAAGAAUACAUCCAAAGCUACUAAAAGAAACAAAGUCCGUACAUGGACGAUUUACAAACAGGAGAAAGGGCUAAUUUUGCCACUGUUUGCUCUGAAUAGCUUACCCAGAUUACAGGCCAAUUUUGUUUUGGACAGAAAUAUUUUCCAUCGCAGGGUCUGCUAAAGUCAACAGAGUGCUAUUCCUUUGGCUGCAGGAUGGGCUGAAGGCUGGGUUGUAUUUUGGGAUUGGCAGCUCUGUCCAUCUCUCUUUAACCCAUUUAACCGCAGAUUGAUUGGGACUUUACUGAGCACUUAAAAUUCUGUGAUUGCCUUGAUUGUGGACUCCCACUCCUAAACCUAUUGCAAUGUUCUUAAUAUAUAGCAAUAAAAAGCUGCCCCUGAUAACCAAAAAAUAUUGUAUUAAGUUGACAGACCGGGUAUUAAAAACGCAGAACCAGCCUAAUGAAAUAACUUGCCUUUGGUUGCAAGAACCUUCAUCGUAAGAAGAUUUAAGGCUAAUCUGACUUGGAGCUGCUUCAUUCCAAUUAUUUUUUCAGGAAUUUUGGGGGCUUUAUUUUUCUUUUCAACAUCAUUAUUCAGUCUUGACAGUUCUUAUUUUGUUAAUUUUUUUUGCAUAUUGAGUAAAUGAGAAAUCAGUUCACAACAAUUCUUAAGGAGAAAUGAAAUGCCCAGUAAUCCAAUUUUGAUCAAAAUGCAUCUUUGCUUUUCAGGGACCAACCAGCCUGUGCAGUUAUCUCCACAUGCACAGAGUUGAUAAUAAAGCAAAGUAAAGCUCACAUUCUUUUCCCAGUGAGAGAAAAUCUCACGUGGUGGGAACGGGGCAUUGUUCAGCUGGAGAACAAUGUGCUAUUCCCCCAGCGUGUGGCAAAGCAGAGAAUGACAAGAUGAUUUCUCCCUGUGCUUCUACUUUUGUUUCAUAAAUGUUUACAGGCCCAGAGUAAGCCUUUUCUUCACCCUAGCUGGGUGGUUCUCUUUCCUGGAAACCUUUCUUUCUCUCUCUCCUGAUGCCUUGUGUUUGCAGAAGAUAGCUCACUACUGCAGCACUUUUCCCAAAAGCAGCCUUGAGAAGAAGAGACAGAUGCAGCUGUCUUCACAGGCCUGUUUUAAAGCUCCUCCACCUUCCGUUUCAGUAUCCAUUGCCACUUGGUUUUGCAGAAAAAUCCCACAAAACAACAAACACAGAAGAAGACAAAAUGCAUCACAAAAAUACAAUCCCUUUCCAAAGAGAGUCUGCACAAACAAGCCUUGUGUGUCUCACAUGGCACAUGGAGGUAUUCCCAUAAUCCAUGGUUGGUUUUGUUUUUUUUUUUGGAAUUGUGCUGGCUUCAGUGAUUCCUGCUUAGUCCCUAACUGGUUUUUAUUCACCUUUGCCCUUUAGAACUUAUAACUAAAGGAGCCACUGCAUUCCUGUUGUGCAACAUCAGCAAAAUUGGUGGCUUUGAAAUGUUUGCUUGCAAUCAAGCAAAGCUGCUCCACUUCUCCUGUAAAUGUUCCUUCCCACCACCCUUUUCCUCACCAACUCCUCCUAAUUAUUGAACAGGCUUUUCUCCUGUCCGUUUUUCUCUGCCAUCGGUUUACUUUUCCACAUUCUCAGAGUUCUCAAAUGUGUUUAUGCUCCUUCUGACUUGCAAUGGCCAUGUGUUGAUGUUGCUUCAGAUGAAUAAGCAGUGGAGAGAAAAAUAAAUGGUUUGAGGAACUCUGUAUGAAGUACAUGAAUAGUUACUGGAUGGAGGUGUUGGAUGGGUAUGGAUGAAUAAGUAUAUGAAAGGAGGUAUUGGCUGAUAGAUAUAUGAAUGGAGGCAGAUGCGUUGCAUCUUGGUGUUAUCUUCCAUUGGGAUCUCAAAGCACUUGGAAUCUCUGCUGAAUUCUUUUUAGAUUACUCCACCUGAGCUAUGGUGCAACUAGAUUUAUGCUGCUUAAUGAGCUGAUUCCAGGGUUGAGAGUAGCCUUUGGAUUUCCUGGCUUCCCAUUAAUGCCGCAGUAUUUUAUCUGUAUUUUAAAGGGCUCUAGCAGCUUAGAAAAAUAACAACUGUCCAUUAGUUCAAGAGAAGGCAGUGCAAAGGGGAUUUUUCUAGGAGGAGGCAGAGUAUUGAAUAGCAACAAGUUUUAUCAACUGACAGAGCUUAUUUCCCAGGUGUUCGUCAGUGUAUCACCCAUCUGUUUAAACCUCUUGGGAUUCUGAGCCCAUAGGAUUCUGCAAAGAAGGUUGUAACAGAGCAAUGCACUCCUGUGCACUCCGAAUGGAAGCUAGCCACACACUUGAGUCUGGGUUGUCGCAUGAAGCAAGUAUUAGAUGCAAGAAUCCGUUGUUCAGUAAUCAUCUUGACUUUAUAAGUAACAGCCAGUUGUUUCCUAAAGGGGAAGAUGAGAGACAUAGCGCAUCAGUAUGGGAUGUUAUGAAAAGGAUCUCUCCCUAGACUGAUAGUAAAUGGCUUCUUUUCCAUGGCACUAGGAAACAGCCAUGCUUAUAACUGAAAAAUAUGGACUUUUCAAACAUAUUCUGUUGCCUUUCCAAGUUACCUUUAUUUUCCUUUACCCAGCACUUGUUACUUUCUUGCUUGUAUCUAUUCUUUUCAAGACAACUCGUGGUAUCUUCUCUCUUCAUCCUUUCUAUUUUCCUCACCAUCUAACCUUAGAGCAUUCCUCUUUUUUCUCUCUGAAAAUCUGCCUGCUGGUAUUUUCCAUGAAUCCAUCUGCAUUGAAUUAUUUAUAGUUACAAUAAAGUCUGCUUUUGUCUAAUGUUUAUUUUCUUUAAUAACAAGAAACAUGGGGAAAAUGUUCCAAAGAUCCAAAAAAGGACUUGACUUUUCCUGGACGCUAGGCAACGGUAGCCAAAAAGCACAAAACAAGCCAUAGGAUGUUCGUAAGAUGCCUUCUAAAAAUAAUAAUACUUAGUACUUUAGUAUCUAAAGUGCUUUUUUGCCUUCAUUAUAUUUCCCAAAUCUGGGCCUUGGUUAUAUUGUUGUCAUGUCACUCUAAAGGCUGCAGUAGACAGGGAGCUACUGCAGAGGCAGCCAGGAGCAAUAAGCAGAUGGAUACAGCUGAUGAGGCCAGGCUUCUGCUACCUUUUCCUUGUCCUAAGUGUUUUAUAUAGGUUAUGGAACUCCCUCAUGCUGGUCGUUCUUGGCCAGUGGUUUUAUCUUGUGUCUGGUAGAGCAAACAAUGUAUCUUACUUAUUGAGUCAUUGCUAUUUCUUUGUUACCUUUUACUGCUCGUUUGAAUUGAGUUUUCAUUAUGAUUUAAAGGCUUUUCCCAUCGUCUUUUCCAGUGGACGGUUUAUGUUUUUCAUAUACCUCUUUUUCUCUUCAAUUAUGUGAGUCAUGCAAGCAUUUCCCCUUGAACACUUUCCAGCACCCCCCACCCCAUACCUCACCCCUCCAUGUCCUCCUCAUUUACUCAGCUCCAUUCUCUUCUGUGCUUCCUGCACUGCCUACAGUGAUUGCACUUAGUGUGGAUGCUGUGGGGGAGGGAAUAUGGAAAGGGAGAAGGUAAAGAAAGGACUUCUGAGGAACCUGCACGAGCUGAAACAUGACAAAGGCUGAAGUUAUAAAUGAUAGGAGGAAAAGAAGAGAGGAGCAAGUUAAAGUCAAGGUCCUGAGUGGCAAGAGACACCCUCAGCAUGGAUCAGCAUGGAGGUAUGUUGGAUACUGUUCUCCAGAGGGAGCAAGGAGGAGGAGACAAGAGCUCAGGUGAUGAGGUCCCUGCUCCCCGCUCCACCUGCCUAAAGCAAAAGCCAGAGGGUAAGGCUCACGGAGCCCUCCUUACCACCCUCCUGGCAAAAGGUUACUCAGGUUGUAAGGGUGGUUAUUUUUUUCUCUCAAUCAUUCUGUUUCCUUCUCUAUUCCACACCCCUCAACUACUUGCAUUAUUGCUAUUUCUUGUGUAAAACGUACCUUUACUGCUUCUGUUCCAGCUCCAAUGCUUAAACCACAGGAGAAAAGUAGGAUGCUGGUACCACAGAAGUAGUGUGCUCCAAACUUCGGGCUGUACCUACUGUCCGGGGAUGAAAUCUGCCACCAGGACUUGCAAUACAUAGUCCUGUGCUCCCCAAGCACCCUCAUGCUCAACACAUUGCCCCGCUCAUCCCCAGAUACGCACAGAGCCUGGGCAAGGGGACGUCCUCCAGGAUGAAGCAUGGAGAGCUCCUGCUACUGAGCCUGUAAGACCUUAUAGCUCCUUGUGUGUCUGCUUGCUGUGCCUUGGCUGCAUAGGAGCUGCUCACCUGAUUGCUAGGGAUGAAGUCAGGAAUGAAUUCCUUCCCUCCAUCUGGUCACAAAGGCUGCUUCGUCCAUCUUCUGUGAUUCAAGGCUUGGUCUCCCUCCUGGAUGUGUUCACAGCCACACUCCCUGCUGUUCUUGGGACCUGACACAUCAGCAUGGCUCUCGACCUCUCCUCAUGCAAACCUUCCCUGCGUGGCAAAUAGGGAAUUUUGCCCUCCUUAAUGGGAGUUGCACUAUCUGAUGGCUGCCUGAUGAAGUAAGAGCUCAACGAGGCUACCUCUACACCAAACAAACCCAUACAUCAGAGGCCAUCCCUUUGAAUUCAACAGCUUUUCUGGUGCUAAGAGAGGAUAUUGAAAACCUGGUCUUAAAUCACACUUUUCAGGUAAUAAGCAGCAAUGAAUGGAAGAGAAAAGGAAGCCAGGAGGCUUAUAGGAUUUAAGGAGCUUCUUUUGAAAGAAGAAUCCACCCUGCUGCUGAUGGCCAGAUGCUCAUGUAUGUCUGGAGAUGUGCAAAUAAACACAGGGUGUAAAGCUGUUAGCAGUGGUUCACGGCAACAGACUAGCUCCUGUCAAGGAAAAGCAGGUUAGGUAAACUUUUCAGGUGUUUGGAGGUGAAUCUUUUCAUUUGUGCACAGCCCUUGGUUGACCCAACUAUUUCACAUCAUUACCAAUUGCUUUGUUCGUAUGUAUCAAACUUCCUUCUUGUGCUUUAUUGGGUUUUGCUCUCACUGACCUCUUCCAGCAGUUUACUUUCUAACAUCCUGGAAGCUUCAUCAUGACUGCUCAGUGCACCUCACCUAGAGCUGAGAUUAAAAGUUGAAAAAGAGAAAGAGUGAACACAACACGAGAGAAAACAGAAGCAAUUUUGGUGGCAACCUGGUGACACUCUGGAAUGUCUUUGGGAUAACAGAGCAGCAAGCAACUUGUGAUCCGCAAAGGCAAAUGGCAGCACAAGCAACAGGAUUGAAGUUCUGCAGUAGUGAUGCAGGUUGAAUUCUCUCUUGAGAAAGUCAGUCUGUCUGUACGGAAGGAGCAGGACAAGCACUCAGACGUGAGUCCCAGCUUUGCAGCAGCAGAAUGCCAACAACAUCACCUGGACAUCCAUCAGAUACCACUCUUUCUUCAAGCAGAGUUUCCCACCUGUCUCAAACCAGUGGUUUUGGACAACCCUGCAACUACCUGCAAAUUAUGUUGGUGUUCUGCUUCUUCAAGUGUGUCUUCAUCAGCCUGAUGUCAGCUUCUUUCUUGUGGAGAUGAAGAAUGUCACCAUGAAUGUCCAUAGGCAAACUGGAUAAGAAAGAGUGUCACAGUGCAGGACAACCUAGAAGAUGACAGACAGAAUUCUGAUUGAUUCCAGAGAAAGCUUUUGAUAUCGGUCUGCCUUGUUCAGUAAGAGUCAUGGUAAAAAAAGAAGAUAAUCAGGAAGGAUGGAAGGACAGCCAUACAACCCCAUUUAGAAGAGCUACAGAAUAAAACGUGAAGGAUAGCCAAAAGCACCUGAAGAGAGACGAGAAAACUACUAAUCCGAAAGAAAGGAAAAGUGAGAAGACUGACAAAAAAGAGGAAGUUAAGAAUAAGGCACACCAUCAGAAGACAUGGAAAAUUAUGGCACAGCAUUAGUUUAAUCACUAAUUUAAAUCCAUGCCAGGACCUGGAGGUAGACCUAGUCUGAAUGGAGAUAGUGCUGGACCAUCAGCAAGAUGUGCUCCAUGGGUUGGUACCGCUGGAAGAGAGAGAGGGCAUGGCUGUAGCCCCCUAAAGCCCUGCAUUCAUAAAUGCAGUACACAAUUACACACGUAAUGGAGUCUUCACUGAACGUCCCUUGUUCAAGUUUGGCUUUGUUGUUUAUAACUUAAGUUACCAUAAGAUUUCAAUUCAGCAGAGGGAGCUGUGGGUGAGAGUGAUGCAGUUACAGCCAAGGGAAGACUGUGCUCACUCAGCCCCCACAGCCUGAAAAUGCUCCCUAUUUAUUUCACCGACGUUCUUGUUACAACACAUCCCUGAGUUGCCAAGUUAUUUUUUUUUUCACUAGCAAAUGUUCUCUCCUUUUCCUUGUUCACUUAUGUGAUACAAUCAAUCUCAAGAGCACUCUGGUAUUUCACUCUGUUUUGCCCCCCAAGUGCCCAUUCUGUUUCAUGAUGGCUAUGUGUAUCACGCCAGAGAGAGCUCAACAUUUUUCAGAGCUCAUAUAGUCUUGGUUGCCACCAGCUUAUAUUUAAAUAUGGAGCUGGAUCAGACACGUUCUCAGCUUUGGGAUGGCCUGGACCCAUGAUCCAAGCAAUUCAAUCUAGGUUAUCCCUAACGCCAUUGGCAAACUUGUCUGUUUAGCAAACUGGUGUUAAAAACAACAUAUACGGUGGUUUCACAUCAUGAUUACAAUGAUUUCAUAGCUUUGUGGUUGCCAGUUAAGCCAUACAUAAUGCUAGAGAAAUAGUUCUAUCACUUGAUCUGUCAUCCGGUAAAAAUAAAAAUUAUUGGCCAGAGACUAAAGGAUGAAGUAAGUUCAAGUAGUGGAGCAGUAGUUUGUGAGCCAGAACUGAUCCAGCAGAAGCUGGAAGUGCAUUUGCACAUAAGCUAGUAAAUUAUGUAUUUGUCCACUCAGUAAUGUAAUAAAAAUGUAAGCCCACUCAGCAAGAGACAAUGUGUCUCAACAAGUACUUUUACAUUUAAAACUGAGGAACUCCAUUUUUUUUCAUACCUUCCCAUGCUAUCUGAAAGCUUUAGUUCAGCAUACCUUGCAAACUCUCAUUGGUAAGGGUUAGUACAGCUGGCCUCUUGAGUCUGCUCAGCAAAACUGAAGCAGAUUCCCUGUGCUCCAUCUUUUGAACACAGUCGUCUGAAGUCAAAAUUGGGCUGAGUAAAUACCACUGCCAUUAAUAACGUCCAGAAAACUUUUGAACAAACUAAACAGGAUAAUCAAAAAUAGUAUAGUAGUAACUGUUUAUUUGCACUACUUUUCCAUUUCUUCCAUUUUUUUCUAACUUCUUGCUUCACAUGUGGUCUAUCAAGGCUGAUAGUUCUUCAGAGUAUAUUUGUCAUUAAAAUGUACAGUUCACUCAGAUGCCUAUCCCACUUGCUCACCCACAGCUCACACUAACUUGCUCCACAGGUUCAGUUCUAUCCUUACACAAGACAGUGAUGACAGCUUUUGACAGAAUAUUGCAGUAUAACAGUAAACGAAGUAAGGACAUUGUAUCAGUCCAACUCUGAUACUACUUUAUGUCAUGUUCAAAUUUGGAAAAAGCCAUGAAAUGUCAGUUUUACACCGAAAUUCCUCGAUGAGAUUCCUGUGCUGUUGCUAAACUCUACUCUAAAUGAGCACUGCAGCAGUGGAAGUGGGGAUAGAUUCACAUUCCAGUUCUGUUUCUGAAGGUGGACCCACAUUUCUGUGGAAGGGCAGGACAACACAGGUUUAGACAGUGUUAUAGAGAGAGUAACAGACAUUCCCCUGAGAGACGGUCUCUGUUUCAAUUCAGAUAAAAAUGGCCCUACUUGUGAUUCUCUAAAGGAUAGGGGGGUUAGCGUUGAAACUGAUUGGUCUCAUUAACCUGGUCAACAAACUCUUGCUUAUAUGAAUUAUGUGAAUCAUUUAUGUUCAUAAGCAAUGAAUUUAAAAGUAGUGAGCAUAGCAGACACAAUUUGAACAUACAGAGGGACAUAUUGAAAUGAGUUAUAUGCAAUUAUAAUUAUCAACUCUAUUAUUUUAUGAUUAUUAUUAUUAUUGCUCUGUAUUAUGAUGAUGGUGAUUAUUGAUUUGUAUUGCUCUACCAUGGUGUCAAAAGGCUUUAAAACAAGAAAAACAGGAAAUUUGAAAAACAUUUUGAAAUUAGCAUGCAUCUAUUAGAAAAGUCUGUAAAAACUUAUGGCCCUGUAAAUGCAAUGUUGUGUGAAAAAUUUCUCAGGAGCAUUUGUCUUGCAUGAUAUCACAACGAGCACACUGCAGGUUCAAAGUGAUGGAGGUAUGGAGAAUGAAGAAAAACAACACAUGGCCAUCAGACUAAGAAAAUGAGUCAAAAAUUUUCCAGUGCUAGAUUUGCAUCUGGCUCAUACACCUAUUCAGCUGCAUAAUAUCAUGACCUGUUGUUAUCUUCUAAUAGCUGCUUCAGCAUUUGCUUUCUUAUUAAAAACCAUGCCAAAAGUAUCUAGUUUCUCUGGGAGUUUUGGGUCUAGAAAAAGUGAAAGCCAAGGGGGUCAAGACCUCAGCUAGAAACUCCUGGCUGCUGAUCCUCCCACUGCUUCUGAUUUACUUGCUGAUUUGAAGACUACUGUUUCAUCGUGCUUAGGAAUAAUCGCCUUCAUUCAGCACAAUGAGUGACUGUGUCCCUGUUCCUCCCAUUAUUUAAUGCAACAAGUAAAUUGUAUGAGGUUAGAAUGAUCCGAUAUCUACAUACAACAGUUUGUUGCCAUUUUUCUUUUUACAAUCUCAUCUUCUAGCUACUAAAAAAUCACAUGACACAGAGAAAUGGGAGGGAAAUAACAAAUUCAUCUUUAUAUUUAAGUGUGAGUUGCAACAGGUAGAGCUUUCCAAAGGCCUUUUGAUUCCAGCACAACUUCAUGACAGUGGCAUUUUAACCUUAAAUUUUUUCAUGAAAAUGAAAAGACAUGCUGAAUCAUUUGCUAUGCUAUCCUGAUUUCAGAAAGUAUGCUAUAUGGCAGAGAAUCUCCAAGCUAAAACACCACUGCUUUUAGCAGUCACUACCAGAGCCAUGACCACGAUACAAAAAUAUGCUAGUGAGCCUUGGAGCAGAAAUCUGAGAAGUCUGAAUUUGCACCAAUGAAACUGCAUAACUGUAAGCAAAUAGACUAUUUUUGACCAGAGAGAAACUAAUCUGUUACUAGUGUGAUAUUUACAUAAAAUAAUUACGGUCAUUGAAAUAUCAGAGAAGUGUCCAAGUCUGGUUCUUCACAGGUCUCAAGAAAUGUUUUGAAAGCAAGUUCCAUAUCAUCUGAACUAUUCUUUAAAUACAAGCUCUGACUUUCAAGAGACUUUCAUAGAAUCUUAGAAUCAUUAAGGUUGGAAAAGACCACAAAGACCAGCAGUCCAACCAUCAAACCAUCAGUCCAGUCAUCAACACAUCACAUGUAUCUCCACGUACACAAGCAUGCUGAUGAUCUUUCCUCUGAAUUUGACAUAUACACCCAAAAAUACUGAACUCACCUAAGAAUCAUAUAACUAAGAAUCAGUCUUUGAUGGAUCAUCUCUUACCUGUUGUUAUCUUUAAACAAAGGCAAGUAAACACAUCCACACAUCCACACAAAUCCUCAGAUCUCUGAAUAAACUCAUAACUCUUUGUGUACAGCGUUACUUGGAGGAGCUAUAGGGCUGCAUAAUUACCCCAACUCCUGCAUCAGGCAGGGAAAGUUAGUGACAUGUUGAGGGAAAUGCUACACUGUGUUAAUAACGGUUUUGAAAGAAAUCAGAAAAGUUAAUCAUGUGUGGACACAGGGUUAAGAAGCAAUGUAACAGACUAUUAAGUUUAAUAUAGAUAUGUGAUAUAAGCAUAUGCAGACAGCCAUUAGCAUAAAUUCAUGUUACAGAAGAGCAGUGCAGCAUACUGCGCAAUGGAUUUAUAGCAUACGUGGUGUGCAGGACGGGCACCAGAAUGAGAGAGAAAAGGGUCAACAAAUUCAGACAGGUCUUGAGUCAGAUUGGCAGAACCGGGGCAAACGCAGCCAGGCUGCUUCUCCGUGGUGAUGUUGUCUCGGAGUGACUAUCUAUCACAUAACAGUCAAAUUGCUUGGCUGCUGUUUUCUACGGGCUUCAGCACGAAGACAUCAAAGUCUGGAGUGCACUUGAGGUCCUUUACUUUGCAUUCCUGCUGUGUGAUGAGGACAGCUCUCACUGAUCAAUUUCUGCUCCUUGUUUCUGUAAUGGAGAUACUGACAAAAUCUACAAAGGCAAAAGUCCACUGCUGCUCACCAAGAAUAAGAAUUGCACUCUGAAGCCUGCUUAUUUUUAUCUCGUUUACCUGAUUUCAUGAUCCCUCAUUCAUGCUGUAUUGAUUUUGCUUAGUUACUAGAGGAGCUGAGCAAAGAAUCUGUAACAAGUUCUGUGAAUUUGCCUUUUUCUCCUCACAGAAUGUCAAAAUUAUUCAUUACACAGAUUCACUGAAGAAUUCCCCCAGUUUUCUAACUGCCUGUCUUGCUAUUUGACUUCAUCUAAAUAUAUGUGGUUAAAAGUGGCUCCUGCUAACUAUUCUUACUUGUAAAACUUGACUGCGAGCACAUUUCCACAAGACAACUGAAAAAAGUUCAAAACUGUUUACUGUUAGAUUAUUCACGAUGAAUUCUGGCACAUCCUAAGAGAAGCCAAGACAUAAUAAUGGGAGCUCCUGGGGUUUGUUUAUAACAACCAGCAUUUUACCCUCCUCAUCUAGUGGUUAUUGCAAUGCAGAGGAAUUGGUCGGAGGCUGCAACUGGACUUUUGACAACAUUUAUAGCAUGUAUAAAUGGCUCUGAACCACUUGUCCUUCAUAAUCCCAGAAAGUGCUUUUACACUCAAGAUGCUUCCUGUAUUCUGUGUUCCUCCUUGCAAUAAAAGCCCACAACAAAAUAGUGGUAGGCCUGAUUCAAUUUAAUAGCGGUCUCCUCACAAUACCUACAACUGUUUAAUGUUAUGAAUCCUUAGAGCUAUGCUACUCUUUCAUCAACAAAAGAAAGGGUUACAACCUUCCCCAUGUACAAUGUUUUUAUUGUAUUUCGCCUUUGGGAAUUUCCAGCCCAGCCUAAUCUCUAUCUAAUUGUGUGUGAGGGAGAAAGGCUCCCAUCAGCCCAAAGGGUCAUUGAUAUUCAGGUGAGAGCCAAGUUGUUUUCCAAAGUUUGAUCAUUCCUUCAUCUUCAAGAGCUGUUUGGCAUCUUAUUGCUCACAGGUGAAAUCUGUUAGCAUCCUCUGGGAACUUCAGCACGGGCCCAAAUUUUGCUCAGUGCAUUUCCAAAGCUCCACAGAUUUCAGAUUUUUUAGCUAGAUCUCAACUUGGAGCAAUUAGCAGCUUGCUACUGGUUAUUUCAACAAAUUACUUGAUUAAGACAAUUUUUGUCCCUCCUGUAAUCCCCAGUGCUAAUGUCUGAUUCUCUCUAAAUUUAUUGGUAGCGCAUCUAAUUAGCACUGCUCUAGAGGCAUAUUUAAAAUGAGAGUAAAAGAGGACUAAAUGUAGUGCUGAAAUGUGAGCUUCAGUACUAGAACACCGGUCUUCUCCUGGAAGAAAGUGGUUUUCAUGAUGCAAAGCUGUCUCCAACCUCUUUGUGAUAUCUUGCCUGUCCGGCAUAAAUCACGGGUUAUUCUGGAUCCUAAUGAACUCUUGGGUUCUGCAUCACUUCUGCCUUCUAAAUGCUGUUUUUAACACUGCAAUUAAAAUGCAAAGGAUGGAUAAAAGCUGCCUGACUGAGAGGACACCAAUUGUUGGAAGAGCCAAGCAGACUUCUGCUGAUUGCACUGCAAUGCCAAAGAACACAGUUUGGAACCAGCCUGCCUUGGUCAUCGAAAAGUAUCGGCCAGGAGGACUGCUGGAACUGCUGCUGAACUGCUGUGAACGUAUCAUAUUCUCAGGUUCAAGAUGGCAGAAAAAAAUCUUACACUGGCACAUUGACAUCAUGCUUAUCUCAUGGGCUGCAUUAACCUACAGCAGAAAAAGGGUUCUUGGUGCAUUUUGAGGCAAAAGGGGGAGAAGGAAAAAGAAGGGAAAGACAAACUUUCCCAACUAUUCGCACCAGAUACUUUGAAAAAAUGAGGAGAAAAAAGGAAUGGUCCAGUGAAAAUGCAACCAGAAAGUAGAUGAUAGAACAGGAAAGACUCCAAGGAAGCUCAAAUGCAAGUUUGAUAAAGAGAGAGCAGCAGCAUUGUCUUCAGCUUGCUUUUCAGUGGCUGAAGAGCCCAGCUAACUGUUCUGUAUUCUCAGCCCAGUUCCUUCCUCCCCACCUUAAAUAAAGCCCUCCCAUCAUGCUUAUUAACAUUCCAAUUCAUCAAAGCGAUUGUUAAAAUAGAAAAAAAAAAAGUUAUUUCAGCACUGGCGGAAAUUAUUCUAACAUUACAUUUCAAUAAAGUGCCCCCUCCCUCGGUCCUCUGUGUAUAAGCAAUCCAUGGGUUAAGUUUAGAUCACUAACGUAUGUUCCAUGACCCCAGAAUGCUUCAUCAAAUGUACUCAUUACCAACUGAGCAAGUGAAUGAGUAGUUGUGAGCCACAGUUUAAGCGCUGAUGGGAUUGUGUGUGAGCCCCAACGUGGCCGAGGUAUUUAAAUUUUGAUUUUUGUAAUGGGCUUUGACAUGUUUCAUUUCCUCCGAGGGAGCACUCAAGACCUCUGAAAGUAAAUGUUGCUAAAAAGUCAUCAAGGCAGAAUAUUAAAAUGCCAUCAAAUGAAAAUUUCACUAAUGCAAUCCGGCUAGGCCUUCAGGUACCCGAGCGAAAAGGGGAGUGUCAAAGGUCCCGCUUCUUUUAGUGAAACAUUAUUUGUUCCUCUUCACUGACUGUUUCUCCAAAAUAAAUUAUUUAAAGUCUUAUUUCUUUUUUCUCCUGGGCCCUUUAAAGUUCAACUACGCCGAGAGGAGAAGCGGGGAGGGGAGCAGGGGGAAGGAGGUGUCAUAUGCAGAAAUUCAACAAAUCACUGUGCACACCCGUGGAAAUGGGUUUAUGCUUGCUGGAUGUCUGUAGCCUUGGUAUGGAAGGACAUGGACUUUGGGCUUUGGACAAGCACGGGGCGGGGGCCCACACAUGCCACUGCAGCAUCACAGCUCAAAGGCAGGCUUCAUCCCACAAGGUAUUGAGCACAUUUCUCCAGAACAGUGUAAUGAUGGGAGAAGGGAUCUUGCUUUUCAGUGGUAGGCAGAAGGACAAAAGGGCACUGCAUUCUGUAUAAAAGUACAGGAGAUUCUGGUUUCACUUCCACUCCUUCUCUGCCUGUGUAAAUCUGCUACUUUCUUUCUGUUCCUCCCGACUUACAGCACUGGCAAGGCAAAACUUAAGCCCCUUGUUCCCAAGAAUCUGGAGGCAAAUCAGAAAAAAAAAUAAUAAUAACAGCUACUUUAUUAAGAAGCCUAAUUCAGCAGAGCUUCGUUCAAACUUUAUGAGAAGGAUGAAACAGAGGCACCCUGACCUCAUGCAGAUCUCUUCCCGGACGACUCCACCAAGGAUAUUGGAACAACGAACUCAAGCAGUGGAACUGAGGAGAACUGCACCAUCAGGCCAAACGCUGACUGACUGAAUACAAGCAGGAGGCUCACUACAGUCAAACUUCAUAAAGCUGAUUAACACAUCUCCGCCUGAUACAUAUACCACCAGGAAGAGGGCAGGCAGCAACUGUCGGGGGACAUGCAACUAUUAAAAGAGGGUUGCAAAACAAGGGUUUCCAAAUGAUUCAUAACUACCCUUUGUAACCCUCCUACUGAUGUUUGCCUUGAGUGAAGGGAGCAAGCCUUUUUUUUCCCCUCUCAUAGUCAUUUGUGUAUUGCUCUCGACUUGAUGCAAAUUCUGUGCAACGUGGUUAAUAAAAGCAAGAUAAAAGAUAUGCUGAAGCAAUCUCUCCAGUGGCUCCCCAAAUCCCGGAAAAAAAAAAUCCCCUCUGUACGCCCACAAAGUAAGCAAUCUCAUUUCAAAACCCAUUCUACCAGUUCCUGACAUUGUGCUGUCUGAUUUCGCAUUAGCACGACGGAUGGAAAUGGCAUUUAAGCUAAUUAUCUACAGGAGACUGAGCAAGGGGUUUAGGUGAGCUCCAAAAAUUAAACGGGAAAAAAAAAGAAAAGAAAAAAAAUGAAAUAAAAUAGCAAAAAAAAUCCACUUCCAGAAAGGCUCUGUAAAUCCUUCCCCCAAAAUUCAAGACGAUAAAAAAUAGCAUGUCUGUUUUCUGGGAAAUCCCCUGAAAACUGAGUCCCACCUGGGUGCUCAAGGAGAGGAGUUUACAAAGCAUACACAAAUGCCUCCCACUUUUGGGGGAUAUUUUGCAAACACCUGAUUUGUGAGCCAUCUGCCAAAGUUGUGGCUCAGAUGCAUUUCAUCUCAAUUGGGAUUAGGGUGAGUGAUCCAAAAAUGUGCAUCUCAAUCUAAAUGUUGCGGGUCAUGUCCCACGACAUUGGUUACCUUGUCUCCUCUGGUAUUCAGUAUGCAAAUGGCAUGCAGCAUGAAGUGAUCCAGCAGCAAGAUGUGAUAGGGAGGGAAAAGAUAGGACAAUGUGUCAGGGAAAGAGAGAAAAGUGCAGCAGGCUGCAGGGGAAUGGAAAUGAGAUGUUGGGGCAAUGCUGUUCCAACAGCAUGGUGCAGUGCUCUAGGAGAGACAUCAUGUGGGAGCACGUGGCUGAAAAAUAGGUACAGUACUGCAAGUUGAAAGGAGAAAAUUAACAAUCCAGUAACCUAAGCGGGGAUGUGGGCAAAAAAAAUCUGAAGUCACUGGGAAUAUUUCAGUGAGCUCUGAGAGAAUAGAGCUCAGACUGGGAAAAAAAAGAGUUCUAUGCAAGCAGUGCUACUUUGUUUUCUACUUGCAAGGGUUUUUCUACUUGCUUGUUAACCGAGCUUCAGUUAAUCUCAAAAAACUCGGACUGUAUUAAAACAAACAAAAAUAAAUCUCCCUUGAUGCACCCAAGGUUCCUCAGGACCCAAUCAAUGUUUUCUUUCGGCUCACUUUAAUUUCAAUAUAUUUUGACAUUGAACUUAAGAGCUGAAGUUCUCACGGACAAAAACAAGGACUUCAAGAAUAACAGAUAUUACAGAAAUGAGAAAACUCGAUAUCUUCACGCGUGGCACUCAUUUUCAGCAGUAGUCACAGCUACACAAAUAUUUAGGUUGUAAAAACUUCCUUCAAAAUGCCAUUUUGGUUUAACAGAAAAAAAGAAAAGCCCAGUGGACCAAA